ACCCGCUGAAUUUAAGCAUAUCAAUAAGCGGAGGAAAAGAAACCAACAGGGAUUACCUCAGUAACGGCGAGUGAAGCGGUAACAGCUCAAAUUUGAAAUCUGGCUCCUCGGGGCCCGAAUUGUAAUUUGUAGAAGAUGCUUUGGGUCUGGGCCUGGCCUAAGUUCCUUGGAACAGGACGUCGUAGAGGGUGAGAAUCCCGUAUGCGGCUGGCGCCCGUGCCCGUGUAAAGCUCUUUCAACGAGUCGAGUUGUUUGGGAAUGCAGCUCUAAAUGGGUGGUAAAUUUCAUCUAAAGCUAAAUAUUGGCCAGAGACCGAUAGCGCACAAGUAGAGUGAUCGAAUGAUGAAAAGCACUUUGGAAAGAGAGUUAAACAGUACGUGAAAUUGUUGAAAGGGAAGCGCUGGCAACCAGACUUGGGCGCUGUUGAUCCGCUAGGGUUCUCUCUAGGGCACUCGGCAGUGCGCAGGCCAGCAUCGGUUUGGGGGGUUGGAGAAUGGCUGGUGGAAUGUGGCUGUCUUUGGGCAGUGUUAUAGCCACCGGUGGCAUGCAGCCUCCCCGGACCGAGGACCGCGCUUCGGCUAGGAUGCUGGCGUAAUGGUUGUCAGCGACCCGUCUUGAAAGACGGACCAAGG
rnacentral:rRNA from 1 species